rnacentral:rRNA from 1 species
UACGAAGGGGGCUAGCGUUGCUCGGAAUCACUGGGCGUAAAGCGCACGUAGGCGGAUUGCUAAGUCAGGGGUGAAAUCCUGGAGCUCAACUCCAGAACUGCCUUUGAUACUGGCGAUCUCGAGUCCGGGAGAGGUGAGUGGAACUGCGAGUGUAGAGGUGAAAUUCGUAGAUAUUCGCAAGAACACCAGUGGCGAAGGCGGCUCACUGGCCCGGUACUGACGCUGAGGUGCGAAAGCGUGGGGAGCAAACAGGGAUUAAGAAACCCCGG